rnacentral:rRNA from 1 species
AUUGAACGCUGGCGGCAUGCCUUACACAUGCAAGUCGAACGGCAGCACGGGAGCAAUCCUGGUGGCGAGUGGCGAACGGGUGAGUAAAGUAUCGGAACGUGCCCAGUCGUGGGGGAUAACGUAGCGAAAGUUACGCUAAUACCGCAUACGAUCUAUGGAUGAAAGCGGGGGAUCGCAAGACCUAGCGCGAUUGGAGCGGCCGAUAUCAGAUUAGGUAGUUGGUGGGGUAAAGGCUCACCAAGCCGACGAUCUGUAGCUGGUCUGAGAGGACGACCAGCCACACUGGGACUGAGACACGGCCCAGACUCCUACGGGAGGCAGCAGUGGGGAAUUUUGGACAAUGGGCGCAAGCCUGAUCCAGCCAUGCCGCGUGCAGGAUGAAGGCCUUCGGGUUGUAAACUGCUUUUGUACGGAACGAAAAGGUUCGACGUAAUACGUUGGACUCAUGACGGUACCGUAAGAAUAAGCACCGGCUAACUACGUGCCAGCCGCCGCAGUAA